UACGGAGGAUGCGAGCGUUAUCCGGAUUUAUUGGGUUUAAAGGGUGCGUAGGCGGUCUGUCAAGUCAGCGGUAAAAUUGAGAGGCUCAACCUCUUCCCGCCGUUGAAACUGGUGGUCUUGAGUGGAUGAGAAGUACGCGGAAUGCGUGGUGUAGCGGUGAAAUGCAUAGAUAUCACGCAGAACUCCGAUUGCGAAGGCAGCGUACCGGCAUCCAACUGACGCUGAGGCACGAAAGCGUGGGGAUCAAACAGG
rnacentral:rRNA from 1 species